rnacentral:rRNA from 1 species
GCGGAGGAAAAGAAACCAACAGGGAUUGCCUCAGUAGCGGCGAGUGAAGCGGCAAAAGCUCAAAUUUGAAAUCUGGCGUCUUUGGCGUCCGAGUUGUAAUUUGAAGAAGGUAUCUUUGGGCCCGGCUCUUGUCUAUGUUCCUUGGAACAGGACGUCACAGAGGGUGAGAAUCCCGUGCGAUGAGAUGACCCGGGUCUGUGUAAAGUUCCUUCGACGAGUCGAGUUGUUUGGGAAUGCAGCUCUAAGUGGGUGGUAAAUUCCAUCUAAAGCUAAAUAUUGGCGAGAGACCGAUAGCGAACAAGUACAGUGAUGGAAAGAUGAAAAGAACUUUGAAAAGAGAGUGAAAAAGUACGUGAAAUUGUUGAAAGGGAAGGGCUUGAGAUCAGACUUGGUAUUUUGCAUGCUGCUCUCUCGGGGGCGGCCGCUGCGGUUUACCGGGCCAGCAUCGGUUUGGAGCGGCAGGAUAAUGGCGGAGGAAUGUGGCACGGCUUCUGCUGUGUGUUAUAGCCUCUGACGAUACUGCCAGCCUAGACCGAGGACUGCGGUUUUUACCUAGGAUGUUGGCAUAAUGAUCUUAAGUC